GAUGAAGAACGCAGCGAAAUGCGAUAAGUAAUGUGAAUUGCAGAAUUCAGUGAAUCAUCGAAUCUUUGAACGCACAUUGCGCCCCUUGGUAUUCCGAGGGGCAUGCCUGUUCGAGCGUCAUUAUAACCCUUCAAGCUUAGCUUGGUGUUGGGGCCUGCUAUCAAUGGCAGCCCUUAAAAUCAGUGGCGGCGCCAUCUGGCUCUAAGCGUAGUAAUUCUUCUCGCUAUGGAGUCCUGGUGGAUGCUUGCCAUCAACCCCCAAUUUUUCUAUGGUUGACCUCGGAUCAGGUAGGGAUACCCGCUGAACUUAAGCAUAUCAAUAAGCGGAGGA
rnacentral:misc_RNA from 1 species